CAACCCUCGAGCCCGACUCUUUGGAGGACGGCCCGGCGUUGGGGACCGGCAGACUGCCCCGCACCUCCGGGUGUGGGACGCCGCCCCCGAAAUUUAGUGGCGGCCCUCUGAGGCGACCUCUGCGUAGUAACUCACCUCGCACUGGAAACAUUGGAGUGGCCACGCCGUAAAACACCCAACUUUUUUCA
rnacentral:misc_RNA from 1 species